UAAGCGGAGGAAAAGAAACUAACAAGGAUUCCCCUAGUACUGCGAGUGAAGCGGGAAAAGCUCAAAUUUAAAAUCUGGUGGUCUUUGGCCAUCCGAGUUGUAAUUUAGAGAAGCGUCUUCCGCGCUGGACCGUGCACAAGUCUCCUGGAAUGGAGCAUCACAGAGGGUGAGAAUCCCGUCUUUGGCAUGGACAUACCAGGGCUUUUGUGAUGCGCUCUCGAAGAGUCGAGUUGUUUGGGAAUGCAGCUCAAAAUGGGUGGUGAACUCCAUCUAAAGCUAAAUAUUGGCGAGAGACCGAUAGCGAACAAGUACCGUGAGGGAAAGAUGAAAAGCACUUUGGAAAGAGAGUGAAACAGUACGUGAAAUUGUUGAAAGGGAAACGCUUGAAGUCAGUCGCGUCGACCGAGACUCAGCCUCGCCUCGGCUUGGUGUACUUCUCGGCUGACGGGUCAGCAUCAAUUUCGCCUCUUGGAUAAUGGCGAGGGAAAUGUGACACCUUUACGGUGUGUUAUAGUCUCUCGUCGCAUGCAAGGGUCGGGAUUGAGGAACUCAGCACGCGCCUUUGGGUGUCGGGGCUUUGCCCACGAUACGUGCUUAGGAUGUUGGCGUAAUGGCUUUAAACGACC
rnacentral:rRNA from 1 species